GAGGAAGUGUGGUAGGGACUGAUUUAUUUAUUCUUGAAUUUUCAAGGAUCUUAACAUUCAGGAAUUGUUCUUUCUUUUCACAAAUGUCUUUCAACGGGCAAUUGUAAUAUGCAUAACAUAAACAACACCAUUCAAAAGAACUAAAAAUGACAUUCAGGAACACAAAAUCAUGAGCCAGGAAAAAGCAUGGGAUUACCUCAUACGAUUGGAGAAGAUGAUUACAAAGAGAGAGGCAAAAAAGCAGUAUAGAGAGAAGGGUUUGGGUGAUGGCGGCACUCAAAGAUAUUGCGGAAAACUUUUGCGGCAAAACAGAAACGUGGGUACGUGAAAGAAGAAAACAGUGUACAGGAGUAUUUUUAAUUAAUUAACAAUCUCAACCGUAAAUCUAAUCUAAGGGUUAUUAAGUUCUCCUCUCAUCUCUCAUUAUAUGAUGUUUGAAAGACUUAUAUUUAAUGUCGAUAAUAGUUAAUAGUGCUAUGAUUCUUUUUGAAAGAUUAUUAAUCGUUGAAAUAGUGA
rnacentral:lncRNA from 1 species